rnacentral:rRNA from 1 species
AUUGAACGCUGGCGGCAUGCUUUACACAUGCAAGUCGAACGGUAACAGGCCUUCGGGUGCUGACGAGUGGCGAACGGGUGAGUAAUGCAUCGGAACGUGCCCAAUCGUGGGGGAUAACGUAGCGAAAGUUACGCUAAUACCGCAUAAGCCCUGAGGGGGAAAGUGGGGGACCGCAAGGCCUCACGCGAAUGGAGCGGCUGAUGUCAGAUUAGCUAGUUGGUGGGGGUAAAGGCUCACCAAGGCGACGAUCUGUAGCGGGUCUGAGAGGAUGAUCCGCCACACUGGGACUGAGACACGGCCCAGACUCCUACGGGAGGCAGCAGUGGGGAAUUUUGGACAAUGGGCGCAAGCCUGAUCCAGCCAUGCCGCGUGCGGGACGAAGGCCUCGGUUGUAA